UGCAGGACAUGCUCCAUUGAAUUUGC
rnacentral:piRNA from 1 species